AUCCUGCUGAUUCACAAUUAUGGAGACUGUCGUGAGUUUUCACGUUUGGACCACGAAAGCUCUUCAUAUCACAUACACGCAUCGACAAAUGAGCAUCUACGUUGAGAUCUGUGUGUCGAUACAGAUGGAGGUCCACGGAAUCCAGAGACUCUGAGCACAGUGGAGGAAUUGCUAUUAUAGCUUCAUUGUCUGAUGUGGUAACCAGUGGCCACAUGUGAACAUGGAGAUUCAAAUUAAAAAUUAACAGUUCUGUUCUCUCAGGCCCUGGAGCCAUAAUUCACGUACUCAGUAGGUGCCUGUGGCUAGCGGCCACCAUAUGAGCAAAGGCACACACAGAAAGUUCUGUUACAGGGUGCUACUCUAUCGUUACCGCAGUGAAACACUAAUGAAAUAAAGUUAGUGUACUUUUUGGGGCGAGGGGAGGGAGAAGCUAUAAAAGUUCGAAAUAAUUCACAGGUAAACUUAGGAAAAAAAAAAAAAAAGACCCAUUUCCGCCAGUGAUUGACCCAGGAAAGUGAUUUCAG
rnacentral:lncRNA from 1 species